rnacentral:rRNA from 1 species
UACAGAGGGUGCGAGCGUUGUCCGGAAUCACUGGGCGUAAAGGGUGCGUAGGCGGGGCUUUAAGUCAGGGGGGAAAUCCUGGAGCUCAACUCCAGAACUGCCUUUGAUACUGAAGAUCUUGAGUUCGGGAGAGGUGAGUGGAACUGCGAGUGUAGAGGUGAAAUUCGUAGAUAUUCGCAAGAACACCAGUGGCGAAGGCGGCUCACUGGCCCGAUACUGACGCUGAGGCACGAAAGCGUGGGGAGCAAACAGG